rnacentral:rRNA from 1 species
GAUGAACGCUGGCGGCGUGCUUAACACAUGCAAGUCGAACGAUGAAGCCCAGCUUGCUGGGUGGAUUAGUGGCGAACGGGUGAGUAACACGUGAGUAACCUGCCCUUGACUCUGGGAUAAGCCUGGGAAACUGGGUCUAAUACUGGAUAUGACUUCUCAUCGCACGGUGGGGGGUGGAAAGAUUUUUUGGUCUUGGAUGGACUCGCGGCCUAUCAGCUUGUUGGUGAGGUAAUGGCUCACCAAGGCGGCGACGGGUAGCCGGCCUGAGAGGGUGACCGGCCCAGCUGGAUCCGGGAGGCGGCAGAGGCGCCUCGGGGGGGAAGGAGGGGGGAAUGUCCCACAAAGGGCGCGAGCCUGAUGAAGGGGCGCGGAGUGGGGAGCGCCGUCUUUGGGGUUGAAAGCCUGUUUGAGUGGAAAGAAAGCGAGGGGGCGGGACCCUACAAAAGAGGGGCGGCUAACUACGG